rnacentral:tRNA from 1 species
CCUGGUGGCUCAAAUGGUAAAGAAUCUGCCUGCAAUGCAGGAGACCUGGGUUUGAUCCCUGCAUUGGGA